AACGAACGCUGGCGGCGUGGCUAAGACAUGCAAGUCGAACGACACAUUGUAGCAAUAUGAUGUGUAGUGGCGAACGGGUGAGUAAUGCAUGGGUAACGUGCCUUGAACUCAGGGAUAGCGUCGAGCCCCGCAAGGGGUUCUUUGCGAAAGUGACGGUAAUACCUGAUGACGUCCAUGGAGGGCAUCCUCCGUGGCUCAAAGACGGGGACCGCGAGGCCUGUCGGUGAGAUCGGCCCAUGUCCUAUCAGCUAGUUGGUGAGGUAACGGCUCACCAAGGCAUCGACGGGUAGCCGGACUGAGAGGUUGGCCGGCCACAUCGGGACUGAGACACUGCCCGGACACCUAUGGGUGGCUGCAGUAACGAAUCUUCCGCAAUGGGCGCAAGCCUGACGGAGCGACGCCGCGU
rnacentral:rRNA from 1 species